CGACCCCAGGUCAGGCGGGACUACCCGCUGAGUUUAAGCAUAUAAAUAAGUGGAGGAGAAGAAACUUACAAGGAUUCCCCUAGUAACGGCGAGCGAACCGGGAGCAGCCGAGCUUGAGAAUCGGGCAGCUAUGCCAUCCGAAUUGUAGUCUGGAGAGGCGUCCUCAGUGACAAACCGGGCCCAAGUCCCCUGGAAAGGGGCGUUUGGGAGGGUUUGAGCCCCGUCCGGCCCGGACCCUGUCGCCCCACGAGGCGCCGUCAACGAGUCGGGUUGUUUGGGAAUGCAGCCCAAAUCGGGCAGUAGACUCCGUCCAAUGCUAAAUACAGGAGAGAGACCGAUAGUGAACAAGUACCGCGACGGAAAGAUGAAAAGGACAUUGAAAAGAGAGUCCAAGAGUGCUUGAAAUUGCCGGGAGGGAAGCGGAUGGGGGCCGGCGAUGCGCCCCGGCCAUAUGCGGAACAGCUCUUGCUGGUCCGCCGCUCAGCUGUCCCUCGGGGCACUUCGCUGCAACGGCCUGCGGGCUCCCCAUCUUACCCGUCUUGAAACACAGACCAAGGAGUCUGACAUGCGUGCGAGUCAAUGGGUUCUGAAACCUGGGAUGCGCAAUGAAGCUGACGAGCGGGAGGCCCUCACUGGCCGCACCGCUGGCUGACCCUGAUCUCCUGUGAAGGGUUCGAGUUGGAGCACGCCUGUCGGGACCCGAAAGAUGGUGAACUAUGCCUGAGCGGGGUGAAGCCAGAGGAAUCUCUGGAGGAGGCUCGAAGCGAUACUGAUGUGCAAAUUGUUCGUCUGACUUGGGUAUAGGGGCGAAAGACUAAUCGAACCAUCUAGUAGCUGGUUCCCUCCGAAGUUUCCCUCAGGAUAGCGGGAGCCCAUUACGAGUUCUAUCAGGUAAAGCCAAUGAUUAGAGGCAUUGGGGACACAACGUCCUCGACCUAUUCUCAAACUUUAAAUAGGUAGCAUCGCGCGGCUGCUUUGGUGAGCCGUGCCACGGAAUCGGGUGCUCCAAGUGGGCCAUUUUUGGUAAGCAGAACUGGCGAUGCAGGAUGAACCGGAAGCCGGGUUAUGGUGCCCAACUGCGCGCUAACCUAGAAUCCAGAAAGGGUGUUGGUCGAUUAAGACAGCAGGACGGUGAUCAUGGAAGUCGAAAUCCGCUAACGAGUGCGUAACAACUCACCUGUCGAAUCAACUAGCCCGGAAAAUGGAUGGCGCUGAAGCACGCGUCCCACACCCGGCCAUCUGGGCGAGCGCCAUGCCCUGAUGAGUAGGAGGGCGCGGCGGCCGCUGCAAAACCCGAGGCGCGAGCCCGGGCGGAGCAGCCAUCGGUGUAGAUCUUGGUGGUAGUAGCAAAUAUUCAAAUGAGAACUUUGAAGGCCGAAGAGGAGAAAGGUUCCAUGUGAAUGGCACUUGCAUAUGGGUAAGCCGAUCCUACGUGACGGGGUAACCUCGGCAGAUAGCGUGAUCACGCGCAUCCCCCGAAAGGGAAUUGGGUUAAGAUUUCCCGAGCCGGGAUGUGGCGGUUGACGGCGUUAGGAAGUCCGGAGACGCCGGCGGGGGCCUCUGGAAGAGUUGUCUUUUCUGCUUAACGGCCUGUCAACCCUGGAAACGGUUCAGCCGGAGGUAGGGUCCAGUGGCCGGAAGAGCACCGCACGUCGCGCGGUGUCCGGUGCGCCCCCGGCGGGCCAUGAAAAUCCAGAGGACCGAGUACCGUCCACGCGCGGUUGUACUCAUAACCGCAUCAGGUCUCCAAGGUGAACAACGUCUGGCCACUUGAACAAUGUAGGCAAGGGAAGUCGGCAAAACAGAUCCGUAACUUCGGGAAAAUGAUAUGCUCUAAGGACUGGGCUCGGGGGUCCCGGCCCCGAACCCGUCGGCUGUCGGCGGAUUGCUCGAGCUGCUCACGCGGUUUCGAGGAUAUACCCCACGGCGUAAGCCGGUCGGAAGUAUAACCCGGCCGGACUUGGCGGUUUACUUGAGACCCGGUUGAGACUUGACGAUUCACUGGCGACCUGUUUGGACCUGGUGGUUUACGAUUCAUUGGUAAUCCGGUAGGCGGGUCAGAGGAGCGACAAGACCCAGUGGCCCAAUGGGCGGUUCAUGAAGGCCGGUUCAUACUAUGCUGGGCCGGUUUAAGAGGAAAGGCAUGACGAAUAUUUACCUUAAAGGAGUUAAGACCAGGACUUGUAUCCGGUUUGUAUUAGAGAUAGACUAGUCCUAAUCCUAAUAGGACUCCACCUGUAACCCAUCCCUUCAACAAAUAUAAGGAGGGCAGGGCUCCCCAAAGAGGACUAGCUACAAGCGACAAGAAGAAGAAAAUAAUCUCUAGGGGUAGACACAAAGAGCCGGCUUACCGACGACUCCCUCAUGAUCAUAAUGAGAUCUAGCCACAAACAACAUGUAGGGUUAUUACAGGAUGAUGUUUCCCAGGCCCGAAGCUGUCUAAACCCUUGUCUUGUAUUGCGUCUUUCGAUUCCGCUCAACCCCUCUCAAGCUACAACAU
rfam:Triticum urartu cultivar G1812 contig346376, whole genome shotgun sequence.